CCUACGGGAGGCAGCAGUAAGGAAUCUUGCGCAAUGGGCGAAAGCCUGACGCAGCGACGCCGCGUGGGCGAGGAAGGCCUUCGGGUUGUAAAGCCCUUUUGGCAGGGAAGAGCAAGGACUGUACCUGCAGAACAAGUCACGGCUAACUACGUGCCAGCAGCCGCGGUAAUACGUAGGGGGCGAGCGUUGUCCGGAUUUACUGGGUGUAAAGGGUGCUCAGGCGGGUCUGUAAGUCGGGGGUGAAAUCCCAGAGCUAAACUCUGGAACUGCCUUUGAUCCUGCAGAUCUCGAGUUUGGGAGAGGCGAGUGAAAUAUCUGGUGUAGCAGUAAAAGGCGUAGAUAUCAGAUAGAACACCAAUGGCGAAGGGAGCUCGCUGGCCCAAUACUGACGCUAAAGCACGAAAGCGUGGGGAGCAAACAG
rnacentral:rRNA from 1 species